CAUGAACUGAGGCCUCAGUGCAAUAGCUCAUGAGGAAAUGAAUUAUUUCAACAGCCAGGGUUGCUCUGAAGACUAAAGCCCUGGGAUCAUUCAUUUUAAAAGAAAAGAACGGUGACUCAUCAUUUCAAGCUUUUCAUUCUGGAAGUUGGAAGUACAAGAUCAGAUUGCCAGCAUCAUCAGGUACUCAUGAGGGCCGUCUUCCAGCUUGCAGACUGCCAACUUCUCAUUGUGUCCUCAGGUGAUUUGAUAUCAAAGUAAUGUCAAGUGCUUCUGACCCACUGCAUUAAACGUGUGCUGAGCAGUUGGUGGUAGAAGACAUUAUUGUGAAGGCUGCUCACCACCAAUUUCAUCACUGUUGCUAACUCCAGCUCAUCUAAUCUCUGCAACAUCUGCUACCAGCACCUUCUCUUGCCUCCUUUUGUGAACAUAGUUUUUUCUUCUGGUUAGAAAAUCAGUUCGAACUUCUUGAGUUUUGUGUUUUAAACUCUUCUCAACUGUUCCGAUGAUUGAUGGAUGGCCCAGAGGCGACCUCUUUAUCUCCAGCAACAUAUUUGGCUGUUGGCCCGGUAGAGAGGUACUCCAGAAGCUUGCUGGUUCAUCAUGCUCUCAUCUUUAACCACAACUAUUUAUCUGACUCCUUCCAUCUCCACAGCACUGUGUGAGGGAUCAGUGAUAAGAGACGGUGAAAGACAUGCGCAAAUGGAUAAAUAAUAAGCAGGAUAUGUAGAAUGACACAACAAUUGAUGAGUAAUUUAGGAGAUCC
rnacentral:lncRNA from 10 species